rnacentral:rRNA from 1 species
UCAGUUGGCUUAUAAUUGAAGUCUAGUAUGAAUGGGAACUCGGGGAUAUUCUGUCCUUUAUUUACGAUUAGAAAUUACUAAUUAAGUGAAAAUUCUUAAGCCUUUAGAAAAAAGACGAGAAGACCCUAGAAAUUUUUUAUUAUAUAUUUUGUUGGGGCGACAAGGUAACAUAAAACUUACCUAUACAAUAGGAAAUUUUUAAAUUGGGUAAAUAAAUUACUCUAGGGAUAACAGCAUAAUAUUUUAAAGUUUGUGACCUCGAUGUUGGACUAGGAAAUACCCUACU